UACGUAGGGUGCAAGCGUUGUCCGGAAUUAUUGGGCGUAAAGAGCUCGUAGGCGGUCUGUCGCGUCGGCUGUGAAAACCCGGAGCUCAACUCCGGGCCUGCAGUCGAUACGGGCAGACUGGAGUUCGGCAGGGGAGACUGGAAUUCCUGGUGUAGCGGUGAAAUGCGCAGAUAUCAGGAGGAACACCGGUGGCGAAGGCGGGGUCUCUGGGCCGAUACUGACGCUGAGGAGCGAAAGCGUGGGGAGCGAACAGG
rnacentral:rRNA from 1 species